UGACGAGUGGCGGACGGGUGAGUAACGCGUAGGAAUCUACCGAGUAGUGGGGGACAACAGUUGGAAACGACUGCUAAUACCGCAUAAUCCCUGAGGGGGAAAGGAGGGGAUCUGUUUACAGACCUUUCGCUAUUUGAUGAGCCUGCGUGAGAUUAGCUAGUUGGUGAGGUAAUGGCUCACCAAGGCGACGAUCUCUAGCUGGUCUGAGAGGAUGAUCAGCCACACUGGAACUGAGACACGGUCCAGACUCCUACGGGAGGCAGCAGUGGGGAAUAUUGCACAAUGGGGGAAACCCUGAUGCAGCCAUGCCGCGUGUGUGAAGAAGGCCUUCGGGUUGUAAAGCACUUUCAGCGAGGAGGAAAGGAGUAUGUUUAAUAAACGUGCUCUGUGACGUUACUCGCAGAAGAAGCACCGGCUAACUACGUGCCAGCAGCCGCGGUAAUACGUAGGGUGCGAGCGUUAAUCGGAAUUACUGGGCGUAAAGGGUCCGCAGGUUGUUUUGUAAGUCAGAUGUGAAAUCCCCGGGCUUAACCUGGGAACUGCGUCUGAAACUACAAGGCUAGAGUAUGGCAGAGGGGGGUGGAAUUCCGCGUGUAGCAGUGAAAUGCGUAGAUAUGUGGAGGAACACCGAUGGCGAAGGCAGCCCCCUGGGUCAAUACUGACGCUGAGGGACGAAAGCAUGGGGAGCAAACAGGAUUAGC
rnacentral:rRNA from 1 species